rnacentral:lncRNA from 1 species
AUGGCAAUGGGGUGCAGAGCUGUGAAUACAAACAGGUGAAUGACUAUUCCUAACUAUAUGGACAACUGCAUUUAAUUAAACAAGAGUCUAAAACAGAAUAAAGCCUCCUCUUGAAAAAAUGGUCAGCCUAUCGGUUCUUCUCAAAUGAUAUCUCUCACUCGUUGCUUUUCUCCGCUAACAUUUCUGGACCUAGUCCCUUCCUGCAGGAGCUCAGUUAAACCCAACCAGUGGACUUCACAGCUCGCAGGUAAAGCGGCACUGGCGGACUACAGCUCCCGGCAUGCACCUGUCCCCGAGGUCACGUGAGCGUCCGGAAGCUCUGGCCACAUCCCGCUGGGUGAGGUGGCGGCGGGGGCGGCGGGAGCGGAGUCUAGCGGAGCGGGUUCUUCGGCGGGUCUCAGGUGCUCAAACAGUCGUCGUCAUCUUCUUCUUCUUAUGUAAGUACACUGUAGCUGACAUCAGACACACCAGAAGAGGGCAUCAGAUCUCAUUUCGAGUGGUUGUGAGCCACCAUGUGGUUGCUGGGAUUUGAACUCAGGACCUUCUGAAGAGCAGUCGGUGCUCUUACCCGCUGAGCCAUCUCGCCAGCCCUCAAACAGUCUUCUUACUUCCAGGUGGGUCAGUGUGACACAGUAUCCUGUUAAUGGAACAUUCUGUCUGUCUGUCUAUCUAAGAAAGGGUCUCACUGUGAAGCCUUGACAGGCCUAUAACUUGCUUUGUAGAGCAGGCUGACCUUGUCAAAUACACUCAGUUCUGCUCACUCUUGUGGGAUUAAAAUGUUCAUCACCACAUACCUGGCCCCAAGGGGAACUAUUUUUGAUGAGUUGUCUGGGCAGCUACUUAGGGAGGUGACAUCUGAGAAAUGAGCCAAGAAAGGGAGGAGCAAGCUAUUGCAAAGAACCAAGAGGAGAUGCACACAGGCCUAGAGGAGAAGGCUUGGCAGGCUCAGGGAUUAGAGAUGGGUGCAGGUAGAGGGACGGGGUGGAGGGAAGGGGACAAAGAGUAGAUUAUGGCCUGACAGAGGACUGGGAACUCAGCUGCCCAGGAUGGGACUGGUGACGUAAUGUUCACAUAAUGGGAACUGCACAUGCCUAGAAGCAGCAGGUGGCAGGUGCCGAGAAAGUGCCUCUGAAGAAGCAGGGGUGGGUGAAUCAGCACACUGCCGCAGAGAAGAAGAAAAAGUACCACGUUGUGUGUUCUGUGCUCGGAGGUAUGAAGGGGCUCUGCCUGUGGUGGAUGGGGAGAUGCAGAAGAAUCCCCAAGACAGGAAAGGAACUGCUCAGACAAGGUACCUGGAGACAGAGGGAGGCUUUGUCCUCACUGUCUGCUGUUCUAUACCUUCUGAUCUUCUGCUGUGUAGUUUGGAUGGGAGGCGUCAUCCUGCAAAGUUCAUUUUGCUGUUGUGUGUGAUUGGAUCACUAGAAUGCUAACUUCAUCAGUGGGCGAAGCUACUGAUGAGUUCAUACUACACAGGCUGUUAGGAGGUGAUGGGCCUGCCUUUGCCUGCCCUUUGCUCCCUUUGUUUCCUCGGC